rnacentral:rRNA from 1 species
UGUGACUGAGGGAACCUCCAAGUGCUUAUCCAAAAGAUAGGGCUUUUUAGUAUGUAAUGUAUACUAAGAAUAAGUGAUGGGCAAGACCGGUGCCAGCAGCCGCGGUAAUACCGGCGUCACAAGUGGAGAUCACGAUUACUGGGUCUAAAGUGUUCGUAGCUGGUCAUAUAAGUCUCUUGUGAAAGUUCUGUAGCUUAACUCAGAAUUGCAAGAGAUACUG